CCUACGGGAGGCAGCAGUGGGGAAUAUUGCACAAUGGGGGAAACCCUGAUGCAGCGACGCCGCGUGAGUGAAGAAGUAUUUCGGUACGUAAAGCUCUAUCAGCAGGGAAGAAAAUGACGGUACCUGACUAAGAAGCCCCGGCUAACUACGUGCCAGCAGCCGCGGUAAUACGUAGGGGGCAAGCGUUAUCCGGAUUUACUGGGAGUAAAGGGAGCGUAGACGGCAGCGCAAGUCUGGAGUGAAAUCCCAUGGCUUAACCAUGGAACUGCUUUGGAAACUGUGCAGCUAGAGUGCAGGAGAGGUAAGCGGAAUUCCUAGUGUAGCGGUGAAAUGCGUAGAUAUUAGGAGGAACACCAGUGGCGAAGGCGGCUUACUGGACUGUAACUGACGUUGAGGCUCGAAAGCGUGGGGAGCAAACAGGAUUAGAUACCCGAGUAGUC
rnacentral:rRNA from 1 species